AACCCCUGGCUAUGGGCAGAGAGACAGCUGAUUGGUGCUGGUGCUCUUAUAUCAGUCAGGGCAGAGCAGACUGGCAGCCCUUUGUUCAUCCUAGCUUGAUGCCUACAUUGUGGCCAGAGCUGUUUCAUGCCUAGGGCACAUUU
ensembl:snoRNA